UACGUAGGUGGCAAGCGUUGUCCGGAUUUACUGGGUGUAAAGGGCGUGCAGCCGGGCUGACAAGUCAGAUGUGAAAUCCCGCGGCUCAACCGCGGAACUGCAUUUGAAACUGUCAGUCUUGAGUACCGGAGAGGUCAUCGGAAUUCCUUGUGUAGCGGUGAAAUGCGUAGAUAUAAGGAAGAACACCAGUGGCGAAGGCGGAUGACUGGACGGCAACUGAUGGUGAGGCGCGAAAGCGUGGGGAGCAAACAGG
rnacentral:rRNA from 1 species